UGUCAGUACCACACGGGACUGGUUUCGGGUUUUCACAUUUAUUGUUUUGUAGUUUGUUCAUGUAUAGUUUUUCUUAUUAAAAAACCAUGAACUUCAACCACGCUGCGUAUUGGUCUGCCUCUCCUUCGACGGAUGAAGCCCGUUACAGGAGAUCAUCAAAUCAUCCUGACCAGUUCACAAAGACCUCAGAGGUUCCUCCAGGCAAAGAAUGUGAGCUACUGGUCUCCAGACAGACACACAGAGAGUCACCCCAACUGACAGACAGUAUCAGUCAGUCCGGGACAGGUCUGAGAACCAGGACAGCAUCGCUCAGUCACCACGCAUCCUGUGUGUGCAGACACACACCCUACUCUGGACCAACACAGCCAGGAUCCAAACAGCCAUGAAUCUCAGAACCCACAGAGAGAACUAGAGAAGGAGGCAGCUCUGCAGCCCUCAGCCACCCCAGAGGAGACUCAGGGCCCUACACCACCCCCACCAGAUCAUAGCCAUGCUCAGAGCCCUGCACCACCCCCACCAGAUCAUAGCCAGGUUCAGAGCCCUGCACCACCCCCACCAGAUCCUAGCCAGGCUCAUAGCCCUACAUCACCCCCACCAGAUCAUAGCCAGGCUCAUAGCCCUGCACCACCCCCACCAGAUCAUAGCCAGGUUCAUAGCCCUGCACCACCCCCACCAGAUCAUAGCCAGGCUCCGAGCCCUGCACCACCCCCACCAGAUCAUGGCCAGGCUCCGAGCCCUGCACCACUCCCACCAGAUCACAGCCAGGCUCAGAGCCCUACACCACUCCCACCAGAUCACAACCAGGCUCAGAGCCCUACACCACUCCCACCAGAUCAUAGCCAGGCUCAGAGCCCUGCACCACCCCCACCAGAUCAUAGCCAGGCUCAGAGCCCUGCACCACCUUAGAGGUACAGCUGGAGCAGCUCCAGAAAACAGACACAGCUCUUCAGACAUACAGACAGAUGAAAUAAUCUCCCAUGGCAGACAGGUCCAGCAGCAGAGGAACACACGCCCACUGAACACUGUCUCACAAAAUCUACUCAUUGGACUACAUUAAAUCAUUAUGCACUUCCAUUUUUUAAAUUAAAGAACACAUUCCAUAUUGCUUCUAGACAAUGAGAAUAAGCAGCCUGGUUUCAUAGACUAGACGUAACAGAGUACAUGCAAUUUUUAAUUUAAAAAAAAUGUAUUUCACCUUUAUUUAACCAGUUAAGCUAGUUGAGAACAAGUUCUCAUUUACAACUGCGACCUGGCCAAGAUAAAGCAAAUCAGUGCGACACAAACAACAACACAGAGUUACACAUGGAAUAAACAAGCAUACAGUCAACACAAUAGAAAAAAAGAAAGUCUAUAUACAGUCUGCAAAUGGCGUGAGGAGGUAAGGCACUAAAUAGGCCACAGUAGCGAAGUAAUUACAAUUUAGCAGAUUAACACUGGAGUGAUAAAUGAGCAGAUGAUGAUGUCAAGUAGUGUGCAAAAGAGCAGAAAAGUAAAUAAAAACAAUAUGGGUAUGAUGUAGGUAGAUUCGGUGGGCUAUUUACAGAUGGGCUAUGUACAGCUGCAGCGAACGGUUAGCUACUCAGAUAGCUG
ensembl:lncRNA